GGGAGUACUGAUUAAUCUCUGGAAACUACUGUACCCCAAACUCAUAUCUCAUGGAGUGGGUGUGGAGGCUCCUUUUCCUGCUGGCAGCUGCCCAAAGUGUCCAAGCACAGGUUCAGCUGGUGCAGUCAGGACCUGAGCUGAAACAGCCUGGACAGUCAGUGAAGAUCUCCUGCAAGGCUUCAGGGUACACCUUCACAAGCUAUGGAAUGAACUGGGUGAAGCAGGCACCAGGACAGGGCCUGAAGUGGAUGGGCUGGAUCAACACCAACACUGGGAAUCCAACAUAUGCUGAGGACUUCAAAGGUCGGUUUGUCUUCUCUUUGGACACUUCGGUCAGCACUGCGUACCUGCAGAUCAGUAGCCUCAAGAACGAAGACACGGCCAUGUAUUACUGUGCAAGACACACAGUAUGAAAACCACAUCCUGAG